rnacentral:rRNA from 1 species
AUGAACGCUGGCGGCAUGCCUAAUACAUGCAAGUCGAACGAGAGACCUUCGGGUCUCUAGUGGCGAACGGGUGAGUAACACGUAGGGAACCUGCCCGCGCACCGGGAAUACGCUCUGGAAACGGAGAACAAAUCCCGAUGUACAGGAAGGAGGCAUCUUCUUUCUGUGAAACAUCCUCUAGGGGAUGGGGCGCGGAUGGACCUGCGGUGCAUUAGUUGGUUGGCGGGGUAAAGGCCCACCAAGACGAUGAUGCAUAGCCGGCCUGAGAGGGCGGACGGCCACAUUGGGACUGAGACACGGCCCAGACUCCUGCGGGAGGCAGCAGUAGGGAAUUUUCGUCAAUGGGCGCAAGCCUGAACGAGCGAUGCCGCGUGAGUGAAGAAGGCCUUCGGGUCGUAAAGCUCUGUUGCGGGGGAAAAAAGGCAGCAUCAGGAAAUGGGUGCUGACUGAUGGUGCCCCGCCAGAAAGUCACGGCUAACUACGUGCCAGCAGCCGCGGUAAUACGUAGGUGGCGAGCGUUAUCCGGAAUGAUUGGGCGUAAAGGGUGCGCAAGCGGUCCU